GGAGAGGUGCCGGAGUGGUCGAACGGGCCUGACUCGAAAUCAGGUGUACUGUCCGCAGUACCGAGGGUUCGAAUCCCUCCUUCUCCG
rnacentral:tRNA from 1 species